AAAAUCUGAGGACCUAUAUGUAAACCCUGAGGACCUAAUCGUAAAUAUAAUAAUACAAGGACUAAACUAUAAAAUAUAUAAAAUUACAAAUCACAUCAUUUAAGCCUCUCUGCCUUCGUUCUUAAGGAACCAGAGAAGGCAGCUGCGUGGAUGAACAGAGAAAGAAAGAAAGAAGAAGAGGAAAAAAAGGGGGAAGAAGAAGAAAAAAUUCGGGGCUUUAAGGUUUCUUGCUCAAAUCUUCUCAUUUAGGAUCAUAAUUCUCAAAGGCAAGUGUUCUAACCCCAUCCUACAGAAGUAUUAGUCU
rnacentral:lncRNA from 1 species